rnacentral:rRNA from 1 species
CCAAUAGCGUAUAUUAAAGUUGUUGCAGUUAAAAAGCUCGUAGUUGAAUUUCGGGAUUGACACAUCGGUCGUGCCCUAAGGGGUAUGAACUGGUGUAGUCAAUUUCUCACCUUCUGGAGAACCGCGAUGCCCUUAAUUGGGUGUCACGGGGAACCAGGACCUUUACUUUGAAAAAAUUAGAGUGUUUAAAGCAGGCAUUUUGCUUGAAUACAUUAGCAUGGAAUAAUAAAAUAGGACGGCAUGAUUCUAUUUUGUUGGUUUCUAGGAUCACCGUAAUGAUUAAUAGGGAUAGUUGGGGGCAUUAGUAUUCAAUUGUCAGAGGUGAAAUUCUUGGAUUUAUUGAAGACUAACUACUGCGAAAGCAUUUGCCAAGGAUGUUUUCAUUAAUCAAGAACGAAAGUUAGGGGAUCGAAGACGAUCAGAUACCGUCGUAGUCUUAACCAUAAACUAUGCCGACUAGGAAUCAGACGAUGUUAAUUUUUUAAUGACUCGUUUGGCACCUUACG